rnacentral:rRNA from 1 species
CUCGUAGGCGGUUCGUCGCGUCCGGUAUGAAAGUCCAUCGCCUAACGGUGGAUCUGCGCCGGGUACGGGCGGGCUGGAGUGCGGUAGGGGAGACUGGAAUUCCCGGUGGUAACGGUGGAAUGUGUAGAUAUCGGGAAGAACACCAAUGGCGAAGGCAGGUCUCUGGGCCGUUACUGACGCUGAGGAGCGAAAGCGUGGGGAGCGAACA